UACGUAUGGUGCAGGCGUUCAUCGGAAUUACUGGGCGUAAAGCGUGCGCAGGCGGUUUGCUAAGACAGGUGUGAAAUCCCCGGGCUUAACCUGGGAACUGCGCUUGUAACUGGCAAGCUAGAGUGUGGCAGAGGGGGGUGGAAUUCCACGUGUAGCAGUGAAAUGCGUAGAGAUGUGGAGGAACACCGAUGGCGAAGGCAGCCCCCUGGGCUAACACUGACGCUCAUGCACGAAAGCGUGGGGAGCAAACAGG
rnacentral:rRNA from 1 species